AGGCGGGGACGUCCCUUGGGAGUGAGGGGACUGACAGGGGCGGCCUCGUAACCCUGCGUGGGAUGGAAGUCUCGCGCCUGCAGCCCGUGCCGCCCCAGCCGCUGCCGCCUGCACCGGACCCGGAGCCGUCAUGCCCAAGUGUCCCAAGUGCAACAAGGAGGUGUACUUCGCCGAGAGGGUGACCUCUCUGGGCAAGGACUGGCAUCGGCCCUGCCUGAAGUGCGAGAAAUGUGGGAAGACGCUGACCUCUGGGGGCCACGCUGAGCACGAAGGCAAACCCUACUGCAACCACCCCUGCUACGCAGCCAUGUUUGGGCCUAAAGGCUUUGGGCGGGGCGGAGCCGAGAGCCACACUUUCAAGUAAACCAGGUGGUGGAGACCCCAUCCUUGGCUGCUUGCAGGGCCACUGUCCAGGCAAAUGCCAGGCCUUGUCCCCAGAUGCCCAGGGCUCCCUUGUUGCCCCUAAUGCUCUCAGUAAACCUGAACACUUGGAAAACCUGUGUGUGUACAUGCGCGUGUGUGCUGGGGAGUGCCAAGGGAGCUGCAGUGGGGUCCUGGCAGCAGGCUCUGCCACCGGCGCCUGCUCUUCUGCUGCCCAUUGCCCUCCCCAGGGGGCCGUUCCAGGGUCUCAUAGGCGAGGGCUCCCUGUGCAGGCCCUGCCAGGAGCCCGGAAGUGGGUCCGCACGAGACAGAAUAGACUACACUCAAACUCCAGGGGAACCGUUCAUUGGGCUUGGACACGAAGGCGGGACCCUGCCGACGCAGUGAUUGGAUGCAUGUCCGGCCAGCGCGGUGAUUGGACCUCCGCGCUCUGGCAGCUCCUCUUCCGUGUGCUCUC
rnacentral:lncRNA from 1 species